AAUUCCCUCGAUGGUCCUGAAUAAGAGCACCCGCUCCAACUUUGUCUGGGUCACCUAAGGAUGAACUAUCUAUGCUAAGUUUAUAAAUGUUUUUGUAAUAGGCCAAUUUUGGCUUGGGCCCAAAUUACAAUCACAAAACUAAACCGAAAAUCAAAAUAAAAAUAAUUAAAUAAUCCAAAGUCCAAAUGUCCAUUUACAAACAGCCCAAAUUACUAAGCCCUUGACCCAAAAUAAAAAAAAACCCUAGUGGCCCAAUAUGGCAAAAAAAAAACUAAACAUUUUCAGCAAAAAAAAAAAGAGAGGCAGAAACCCUAGCCUCCAGCGCCGGACAUCAGCAUGCCCACUGUCGCUGCCUCCUCCACGUCAACCUCCGUACCUUUACGUCAGCACCUCCGUACACAGCUGGCCUACGACCCUCGUACCUGCAAAACAAACACACAACAACACAGAGGCAGUAAGAAUAGAAACAAAAAAACAUUAACAGUUGUAUUUUUUUCUUCGGCUAUAAAAGCCACUACAAGUUGUAAUUUUUUUUUACACAGCAAUCAAAACAGAAGAAAAAGAAAAAUUUUAAAGGUAGUUUUGGUGAUUCUGUUAUUUUCAUUUUUUUUGUUUGUUUUAUUUUAUUAUUAUUUUUAAAAAAAGGGAAAGAAAAGAAAAAAUAAAGAAGAAAAGUCGAAUAUUACCUAUUCUUUUGCUUUUGUGCCGCCAUGGGAGGCCGAAGUUCGUCGUUUCUAAUGAAAAAUGACAUUUUUUAGGCUCAGGGAGUUGAAAAGCCAA
rnacentral:lncRNA from 1 species